rnacentral:rRNA from 1 species
CAGAGAAUGCCGGAAUGAGUAGCGAGAGUAAGGUGAGAAUCCUUACGGCCGAAUAUCUAAGGUUUCCAGAGUAAAGCUGAUCUGCUCUGGGUAAGUCGGGACCUAAGGCGAGGACGAAAGUCGUAGUCGAUGGAUAACAGGUGGAGAUUCCUGUACUCCGUAUAAACAGAACUGUGGGGACACGGGUGGAAAGCCUGACCCGGGAAUGGAAAGACCGGGACAAGCGAGGUACCUGAUAAGGAGGCAAACCCCCUUAUCAAUGGGAAGACGUGAUGUGGAGCGAACCAAAGGGUAGCGAAGCAGGUGAGCCAGCCGUCGAGAAAAGCCGCUAUUGUUUUGUACGGACCCGUACCGUAAACCGACACAGGUGGAUGAGGAGAGAAUCCUAAGGCCGACGGGAGAAGCAUUGUUAAGGAACUCGGCAAAAUGACCCCGUAACUUCGGGAGAAGGGGUGCCUGAGGAAUCAGGCCGCAGAGAAUAGGUCCAAGCAACUGUUUAGCAAAAACACAGGUCUAUGCGAAACCGAAAGGUGAAGUAUAUGGGCUGACGCCUGCCCGGUGCUGGAAGGUUACGAGGAGUACUUAGAGGCUUGCCUCGAAGGUGCGAAUUUAAGCCCCAGUAAACGGCGGCCGUAACAAUAACGGUCCUAAGGUAGCGAAAUUCCUUGUCGGGUAAGUUCCGACCCGCACGAAAGGCGUAAUGAUUUGGACGCUGUCUCGACAAUGCACCCGGUGAAAUUGAAAUACCAGUGAAGAUGCUGGUUACCCGCGCCAGGACGGAAAGACCCCAUGGAGCUUUACUCUAGUUUGAUACUGGGAUUCGGUACUGCAUGUACAGGAUAGGUGGGAGACUGUGAAUCUGUGACGCCAGUUGCAGAGGAGUCAAUGUUGGGAUACCACCCUUGUAGUAUUGGAUUUCUAACCAACAGCCGUGAACCGGCUGGGGGACAAUGUCAGGCGGGGAGUUUGACUGGGGCGGUCGCCUCUGAAAGGGUAUCGGAGGCGCUCAAAGGUUCCCUCAGAAUGGUCGGAAACCAUUCGAAGAGUGCAAAGGCAGAAGGGAGCUUGACUGCGACACCGACGGGUGGAGCAGGUAGGAAACUAGGACUUAGUGAUCCGGUGGUAUGAAAGUGGGAUUGCCAUCGCUCAACGGAUAAAAGCUACCCUGGGAUAACAGGCUCAUCACUCCCAAGAGUUCACAUCGACGGAGUGGUUUGGCACCUCGAUGUCGGCUCAUCGCAUCCUGGGGCUGUAGUAGGUCCCAAGGGUUGGGCUGUUCGCCCAUUAAAGCGGUACGCGAGCUGGGUUCAGAACGUCGUGAGACAGUUCGGUCCCUAUCCGGCGCGGGCGUAGGAUAUUUGAGAGGAGCUGCCCUUAGUACGAGAGGACCGGGGUGGACUGGCCUCUGGUGUACCGGUUGUAUUACCAAAUGCAUAGCCGGGUAGCCAAGCCGGGACGGGAUAAACGCUGAAGGCAUCUAAGCGUGAAGCCCCCCUCAAGAUAAGAUAUCCCUGACAAUAAGUCAAUAAGACCCCUUGAAGACGACGAGGUAGAUAGGUCCGAGGUGGAAGUGCAGUAAUGUAUGCAGCUGACGGAUACUAAUAGGUCGAAGGCUUGAC